rnacentral:misc_RNA from 1 species
CUUGCAGUUAGCUGGAGAUGCA